rnacentral:rRNA from 1 species
UAGUGGCGAACGGGUGAGUAACACGUGGGCAAUCUGCCCUGCACUCUGGGACAAGCCCUGGAAACGGGGUCUAAUACCGGAUAUGACACACGGCCGCAUGGUCUGUGUGUGGAAAGCUCCGGCGGUGCAGGAUGAGCCCGCGGCCUAUCAGCUUGUUGGUGGGGUGAUGGCCUACCAAGGCGACGACGGGUAGCCGGCCUGAGAGGGCGACCGGCCACACUGGGACUGAGACACGGCCCAGACUCCUACGGGAGGCAGCAGUGGGGAAUAUUGCACAAUGGGCGAAAGCCUGAUGCAGCGACGCCGCGUGAGGGAUGACGGCCUUCGGGUUGUAAACCUCUUUCAGCAGGGAAGAAGCUUUUAUCGGUGACGGUACCUGCAGAAGAAGCACCGGCUAACUACGUGCCAGCAGCCGCGGUAAUACGUAGGGUGCGAGCGUUGUCCGGAAUUAUUGGGCGUAAAGAGCUCGUAGGCGGCUUGUCACGUCGGAUGUGAAAGCCCGGGGCUUAACCCCGGGUCUGCAUUCGAUACGGGCAGGCUAGAGUUCGGUAGGGGAGAUCGGAAUUCCUGGUGUAGCGGUGAAAUGCGCAGAUAUCAGGAGGAACACCGGUGGCGAAGGCGGAUCUCUGGGCCGAUACUGACGCUGAGGAGCGAAAGCGUGGGGAGCGAACAGGAUUAGAUACCCUGGUAGUCCACGCCGUAAACGUUGGGAACUAGGUGUGGGCGACAUUCCACGUCGUCCGUGCCGCA